rnacentral:rRNA from 1 species
ACGUAGGGGGCAAGCGUUGCUCGGAAUUACUGGGCGUAAAGGGUGUGUAGGCCGCUCACUAAGUUAAGGAUGAAAUCCCCAGGAUAAAAGAAGGAACUGUCCUUGAUACUGGUCAGCUUGAGGCUAGUAAAGGAGAGCGGAAUUCCCGGUGGAGCGGUGAAAUGCGUAGAUAUCGGGAGGAACACCAGAGGCGUAGGCGGUUCUCUAGGCUAGUCCUGACACUGAGACACGAAAGCUAGGGGAGCAAACGG